GGUGAACAGCCUCUGGUCG
rnacentral:snRNA from 1 species